UACGUAGGGACCAAGCGUUGUUCGGAUUUACUGGGCGUAAAGGGCGCGUAGGCGGCAAUUCAAGUCAGUUGUGAAAUCUCCGAGCUUAACUCGGAACGGUCAACUGAUACUGUUUUGCUAGAGUACAGAAGGGGCAAUCGGAAUUCUUGGUGUAGCGGUGAAAUGCGUAGAUAUCAAGAGGAACACCUGAGGUGAAGACGGGUUGCUGGGCUGAUACUGACGCUGAAGCGCGAAAGCUAGGGUAGCAAACGGG
rnacentral:rRNA from 1 species